rnacentral:lncRNA from 1 species
CAUUGAGGAACCGGACCAUGUGGCCAGUGCAUUGUGUGGGUCGAUGGUCACCGCCGAUUUGAAGGUGAGUAGAGAGAGCCCAUCAGGGGAGAGACAUGAUCCGCGGUGAUGAAAGCAGAUUAAAGCUAUCAGUAUCGGGAUCACAGCCGGAAUUAUUCUCGGAAAAAGGAAUUUUGACAUUUGGUACCGGAGUUGAAGUUAGACAGCUUUGGAAAGAAACUGGACAUCUAUUUAUUCAGGUAAGAUUAAUUACUUAAAUUGUAAAACUAUUAGAUAAAAUUUAUGCACCUGGUCACUGUAUGAUGACUCUGGAAUUCCAAAUCCGAAAUCCAGAAGCAAAUUGCAAUUGCAGAUUUACAGAUCUCAAUUGAGAAGAGAAAGAUUUUUUAUUUUUUUACUCUUCUUUUUUCAGGAGACUCAGUAUCUGACCUCUCCCAGCCUUAUUUUAAUUAUGCCUAGGUUCAAGUGCAGCUAGAUUGAGUGUGUCCAAAUGGUUUCAUAUUGAAUAAAGAUAAAAAAAUUGGUCGUUCCAUAUUAAGUGGGCGCACCAGAACCGGCACCAUUUCAAUUGAUGAUCAAUAGUUUAUUCUUAAGGGUCGAUUUAGAUUUGUCGUCUUGCUUGAGAUGAUUUUAUAUUUGUCGUUACACCAUUCUAGAUUGGUUGGUUUACGAUAUUUCAGAUUUAAAAUAGUAAAAAAUUUGCAUCCUUUCUCCAUAAGACUGCCAUAAGCCACAAGCUCGAUCAUGACUUCAUGAGUUAUGUUACUGACUCACUGUGUUAUCUUAACUGUUGUCCGAAUGGAUCACAGACCAAGAUGAUGUUUGAUUUUGUUACGUCACUAUCAGUUUAUUAAAUUAAUUGAAGAAAAUUAAAAAAGAUAAGUAUUGAUAUUGGUUUCACCUAUCAGGGUCCAGAACGAAAUUUUGUCUUGAUUUUUAAAACUUUCCAAUUUUUGUACUUACUUUCUGAGUGAUGUAACAGAAUUAUUUAAUAUAUCAUCGGUUAUACAUUGUAGUUAAAAUCACAUACACAGAGAGACUAAAAUCCUAAACCGACAACCUUAAUCUCCCUGUGUUAAAUUAUCCUUUUUUUCCUGCGUUAUUUGAUCAUGUAAAAAUCUCAAUUUUAGUUUUACCCGUCUUUAAUUUUACAGUUUUACCUCUAGUUCAGAUUUAUUUCAUUGAAUUGAACACCUCAAUUGUAGGAGAAGAUGCUUUAAUGAAGCGUGUAACCCAAUGGAGGGCGGUCCUCAGGUAAUCCAUCCUUGGUUGAAUAUUAUUACAAACAUGGGUUAUCGACUUAUCGUUAGUAUCAUCUCUUUAAAAAGAAAGCAUGGUUGAUUUUUGAUUCGCUUGAUUAUUCUAAUUUGUAGGUUGAAUAUUAUUUAUUGAAAGGACAUAUGCCAGGGAUAUUUUAUUUGUUUUCAUAUCAUUCAAUGUCGAUUGCCGACAGUUGUAUUUGCGGGUAAAGUACGGAGGGUUGGAUAAUGGAAACUUAGAUUGCCGUUUUAAGUUUUAACCCAAUUUUGCUCUUCAUAUUCAAAAUCAUUAAAUCAGUAGUAUAAAUAUUACUUGCAAAAUAUAUACGCCCACCGUGGGGCCUCACGGUCGGACACUUGGAUUUAAUGACAAAGUCGAUUGUCGUUUUAAGUUUUAACCUAAUUUUGCUCUUCAUAUCCAUAAUUAUUAAAUCAGUAGAAUAAAUAUAAAAUAUUACUUAAAAAAAUAUACGCCCACCGUGGGGCUCGAACCCACGACCACAAGGUUAAGAGCCUUGCGCUCUACCAACUGAGCUAGACGGGCAAGAUGUUUUAUUUUUUAAUUAAUAAUAUAUGGAAAAUACAGUCAAAAAAAAAAACCUUACUAGUUAUACCAUUACUGGAUUUUUUUGCAUAGUUUAAAAAUAUUGCAGACAGAUUAUUUUGAGAAUCAAUCGACAACCCGAAUUCGCAUCUUGAUGAAGUAAUGAUACAUAAAACAUAUCGAUAAUAUGUUAAAUAUACAAUCUAAUGCAAAAUUUAGUGUUAUGGAUUACAUUUGAAGUUUAAAUUAUCACCUAAAAAUACUAAAUAAUUAAUCACCAGUCGUGUUCACCUAGGAAUAAAUCCAGGUUCCAUGAUUGACGUCGGGAUAUUUACAGUUAAAAGGGAACAUGAUCAGAUAUCUCUGCAUGUACAAUAUUCUGAGGCAUAAUUAAACCUGAAAAUGAAAAAAAUGAUUGAAUGAUAUUUCUUUGAAAAGUUGUUAAGAUAAAUAUAAGGGGACGGAUGUGAUGCUUACUAUUUUUGUUUUCAAAGAAUUUAGAGGAUUUAUCCAACUUUACUCAUUGUUAAUUUGGUGUUUAGAUUUCUCCUUUCCCGACAAAAUUCAUCAGUUCCAAUCUGGCAGCUUCCAUAACAGCUGUAAAAUCAAUCUGGGAAUAACGCCC